UGAGCAACCUGCCUUUCAGAGGGGGAUAACGUUUGGAAACGAACGCUAAUACCGCAUAAAAUAUCCAGCAGGCAUCUGCAGGAUAUCAAAGGAGUAAUCCGCUGAAAGAUGGGCUCGCGACCGAUUAGCUAGAUGGUGAGGUAACGGCUCACCAUGGCGACGAUCGGUAGCCGGACUGAGAGGUUGACCGGCCACAUUGGGACUGAGACACGGCCCAGACUCCUACGGGAGGCAGCAG
rnacentral:rRNA from 1 species